UACGUAGGCAGCGAGCGUUGUUCGGAAUUACUGGACGUAAAGAGUGUGUAGGCGGCGCUCUAAGUUCGGUGUGAAAUCUCCUGGCUCAACUGGGAGGGUGCGCCGGAAACUGGAGUGCUUGAGCGUGGGAGAGGAAAGCGGAAUUCCUGGUGUAGCGGUGAAAUGCGUAGAUAUCAGGAGGAACACCUGUGGUGUAGACGGCUUUCUGGACCAUAGCUGACGCUGAGACACGAAAGCGUGGGUAGCAAACAGG
rnacentral:rRNA from 1 species